UUCAUCUGAAAAACUCUGCCUUGCUUGGAAGGUUUCUUACCGUAGCGAUCGCUAUGGAAAAUAUCUCACUUCUCCGUUCUCUCCGGCCGGCGGCAACGCAGUCGUGGUGUGUGUUUUGCAGUUCAAUAGGAGAGGAGGUAUGGCCAGAAUCGGAUGCUGUGUCUUUUGGUUAAGCGAAUUUAAAAGCCUUGUGGAAUGUGUGGUUUGAAAACUUGUAACUUUGUAAGGAUAAAGCUAAGUCUUAGGAGAUCCUAAUUUUGCCUCUGGAAUUGAGGCUGGUUCCGUCAAAGCCAAAAAAAAAAAUGGGGAAACAGUUGUGUGUGUUUUCAGGAAAAGGACUCACAAUGUUGGCAGAGGCAAUCUCUUCUCUACAAGAGCCACAAGUGUUGAUUGAUGAGUGUAGGGGGUAGUUUUGUAGCGCUAUCCGCCAGUUGAAGCAGUAUCUGUCUCAUUCCCGAAAGAGGCAAAUCCGAAAACGAAUGCUUAAUAGAUGGUGAUUUAAAAGAAGGCAAGGAAGGCUUCGAGGAACAAUAGACAGUUAAAUCGGGCACCACCUGGAAGAUUCUUGCUAUUGAACUACGUUGGCGGAGCUACCAACACGGGGAUCUUAUCAGAGUCAGAAUGUGAGUUAGUGGAAGCAGGGGAGAAGAUGCUGAUACUGCCAAAUUCUACUGAUCCAGUUGUACUUGGAGUAAGAGUGUGGCCUCAAGCCAUUCCUCUGUUUCUGAUAGACUAACAUUGAUUUGGUAGACGUACGCAGAGAAAGCGUUUCUUUCAUCAUUGGGUCAUGAUGCGAUGUUCUUGGGUGGCAAUUAUGUUGCUGGUGUAGCAUUGGGAUGGUGUGUGGAAGCGCUUGCAAGUUGCAACCCAAUUCAACAAUUUCCUGUCGAGGUAAGCUUACAAGUAACAAAAAUAGAAUAAAAACCAAAUAGAGAUACUUAGAUUGCUCUUUUGACUUUGACAACAGUUUAAGCUUGUAAAGUUUUCAUUGAUCUUUCUCAUAAGUAUUACUACAAUUUGUGGCCAAAAGGGGGGAGGAGAAAAAUACAAAAAGCAUGAGAGAGAGAGAGAGAGAGAGAGAGAGAGAGAGAGAUGAGUUAAGGAAGUCUAGAACAAAUCGAUCAUAACUCUUGAAUCUUGAGGAUCUUCGUGAAGAGGUGAGAUCUUGACACUGUCGAGUCUUGUGGCUCUUGGAGAUUUCUGCUCAUGUGUGUAAUACGUAGAGG